rnacentral:lncRNA from 1 species
AGUAAUAUUUUUGAUUUUGUGGUCAUAGAAUUUAUUCAUCCAACUUAUAUCUAUAUUUAUAUCCAUAUUUUCACUAUCUGAUUCAUAUCCGUGUCCAUUUAAAAUAAAUAUGGAUGUGAAAUUUUUGCAUCCGAUCAAUAUCCGUAUCUGUAUCUAUAUUCAUUAAAAUAAAAUAAAUAUGGAUAUAGAUAUGUUAGUAUCCGAUCCAUUUUCAACCCUGACAUCGGAGAGGUAAAUUCUAAAUCUAUUCUAAACUCUAACGUAUAGUGAUCAGAACUUGAUCUUAAAAGGGAUCCAUUGGAUAAAGCU